AGAGGAAGUAAAAGUCGUAACAAGGUCUCCGUAGGUGAACCUGCGGAGGGAUCAUUACACAAAUAUGAAGGCGGGCUGGAACCUCUCGGGGUUACAGCCUUGCUGAAUUAUUCACCCUUGUCUUUUGCGUACUUCUUGUUUCCUUGGUGGGUUCGCCCACCACUAGGACAAACAUAAACCUUUUGUAAUUGCAAUCAGCGUCAGUAACAAAUUAAUAAUUACAACUUUCAACAACGGAUCUCUUGGUUCUGGCAUCGAUGAAGAACGCAGCGAAAUGCGAUAAGUAGUGUGAAUUGCAGAAUUCAGUGAAUCAUCGAAUCUUUGAACGCACAUUGCGCCCUUUGGUAUUCCAAAGGGCAUGCCUGUUCGAGCGUCAUUUGUACUCUCAAGCUUUGCUUGGUGUUGGGCGUCUUGUCUCUAGCUUUGCUGGAGACUCGCCUUAAAGUAGUUGGCAGCCGGCCUACUGGUUUCGGAGCGCAGCACAAGUCGCACUCUCUAUCAGCAAAGGUCUAGCAUCCAUUAAGCCUUUUUUUCAACUNNNGACCUCGGAUCAGGUAGGGAUACCCG
rnacentral:rRNA from 1 species